rnacentral:lncRNA from 1 species
AGUGCUUUGAGUGUAGGGAUAGACAUACUACUUCAAAACUCCCAACAUUAUACAGACAACAACAACAUUCCUCAAAUCACAUACAGCCAUCUCACCCUGAGAUGUCCAAUUCAGCCUCAAUCAUACAAUAAAUAUAUCAUAAUCAUCAUAAACUCAACUCAUCUAAACAAUCAUAUGAAUAUCAAACUCUUAGCAUAUUUUACACUUGCAGUGAUACUUUACCCAGCUACAUCAUAUCCUACUUUGUCCCCUAAAG